CCUACGGGAGGCAGCAGUAGGGAAUAUUGCUCAAUGGGGGAAACCCUGAUGCAGCAACGCCGCGUGGAGGAUGAAGGUUUUCGGAUCGUAAACUCCUUUUGUCAGAGAAGAUAAUGACGGUAUCUAACGAAUAAGCACCGGCUAACUACGUGCCAGCAGCCGCGGUAAUACGGAGGGUGCAAGCGUUAUCCGGAUUCACUGGGUGUAAAGAGGGCGUAGGCGGCAAAGCACGCCAGAAGUGAAAGCCCGGGGCUGAACCAGGGGACUGCUUGUGGAACUGGAUUGCUGGAGUACAGGAGGGGCAGGCGGAAUGCAGAGGGUAGCGGUGAAAUGCGGAGAGAGUAGGAGGAACACUGGUGGCGAAGGCGGCGUGCUGGAAUGUGACUGACGUUGAGGCGCGAAGGCGUGGGGAGCAAACAGGAUGAGAUACCCUGGUAGUC
rnacentral:rRNA from 1 species